UACGUAGGGUGCGAGCGUUAAUCGGAAUUACUGGGCGUAAAGCGUGCGCAGGCGGUUUUGUAAGCCAGAUGUGAAAUCCCCGGGCUCAACCUGGGAAUGGCAUUUGGGACUGCAAGGCUUGAGUGCGGCAGAGGAGACUGGAAUUCCUGGUGUAGCAGUGAAAUGCGUAGAUAUCAGGAGGAAUACCGAUGGCGAAGGCAGGUCUCUGGGCUGACACUGACGCUCAGGCGCGAAAGCUAGGGGAGCGAACAGG
rnacentral:rRNA from 1 species